rnacentral:rRNA from 1 species
UGGUGUAGCGGUGAAAUGCUUAGAUAUCACGAAGAACUCCGAUUGCGAAGGCAGCUCACUGGAGCGCAACUGACGCUGAAGCUCGAAAGUGCGGGUAUCGAACAGGAUUAGAUACCCUGGUAGUCCGCACGGUAAACGAUGGAUGCCCGCUGUUGGUCUGAACAGGUCAGCGGCCAAGCGAAAGCAUUAAGCAUCCCACCUGGGGAGUACGCCGGCAACGGUGAAACUCAAAGGAAUUGACGGGGGCCCGCACAAGCGGAGGAACAUGUGGUUUAAUUCGAUGAUACGCGAGGAACCUUACCCGGGCUUGAAUUGCAGAGGAAGGAUUUGGAGACAAUGACGCCCUUCGGGGUCUCUGUGAAGGUGCUGCAUGGUUGUCGUCAGCUCGUGCCGUGAGGUGUCGGCUUAAGUGCCAUAACGAGCGCAACCCCUCUCCUUAGUUGCCAUCAGGUUAAGCUGGGCACUCUGGGGACACUGCCACCGUAAGGUGUGAGGAAGGUGGGGAUGACGUCAAAUCAGCACGGCCCUUACGUCCGGGGCUACACACGUGUUACAAUGGCAGGUACAGAGAGACGGUUGUACGUAAGUACGAUCAAAUCCUUAAAGCCUGUCUCAGUUCGGACUGGGGUCUGCAACCCGACCCCACGAAGCUGGAUUCGCUAGUAAUCGCGCAUCAGCCAUGGCGCGGUGAAUACGUUCCCGGGCCUUGUACACACCGCCCGUCAAGCCAUGAAAGCCGGGGGCGCCUAAAGUCCGUGACCGUAAGGAGCGGCCUAGGGCGAAACUGGUAAUUGGGGCUAAGUCGUAACAAGGUAGCCGUACCGGAAGGUGCGGCUG